CAGACCAAGGUCCAGCAGUACUGCUUAGGCUGCUGAUUCAGUGCCUGUGCCUCAUCUGAGAGGACAUUGAUUUUCCUGAAGUACUUGCUUUUUCCAGAGAAACCUUUGAAAACAGCUUUGCAAAGAUACGACAUUGCAAAGAAGAAAAUUCAAGAAGUUAUUGAUGUAAACAAAGUUACAGAAGUGGAAACCGAUCACGCUUUUCUUCACCCUAUCCCCUCGUAAUGACUUCAAGGGACUAUCAAGGUUGCCAAAGGUCAACAUUUACAAGACUUAAAGGAUGGCCAGCUGGGGUACAGG